rnacentral:rRNA from 1 species
CCCUUAGACGUUCUGGGCCGCACGCGCGCUACACUGACGAAGGCAACGAGCUACUCUUCACCGAAAGGUGUGGGUAAUCUUUUGAAACUUCGUCGUGCUGGGGAUAGAUCCUUGCAAUUUUUGAUCUUAAACGAGGAAUUCCUAGUAAGCGCAAGUCAUCAACUUGCGUUGAUUACGUCCCUGCCCUUUGUACACACCGCCCGUCGCUCCUACCGAUUGAAUGUUCCGGUGAGCUCUUCGGACUGCGCGGUCUGCAGUUUCUGCGUUCCGUGCGGAAAGUUGCGCAAACCUUAACAUUUAGAGGAAGGAGAAGUCGUAACA